GCGUUCGUGGUGUAAUGGUAGCGCACUCUCCUUGUAUUCGAGAAGUCGAGGUUCUAGUCCCGGCGAGCGCA
rnacentral:tRNA from 1 species